AGCCUCCAGGUGCCUUACCCCUCAGAUCCAAAUAUUGCUCUGAGAGGCUAAAGAGGAGGGAGAGGGAAAACUGAAGCGGACUCGGGGUCUUCAGGGACAUACAAGUUCAUUUCAAACAUAA
rnacentral:snoRNA from 1 species